rnacentral:lncRNA from 1 species
ACCCAGAAUUAGGAAAGGAUGUAGAGAAUAAUCCAGAGAGAUAGGGAGGUCAGAGAAAAUUCAUACCAGGCAUAAAACUUUCCCUCAAGCGUAAUCCUCCAAAUAUCCACUCCUUCUGCGCUGGCGUGUGCUCCUUCUAANGGUUUUUNNGGUGCAAGGAUUCUCUCUCAUCACCUGAUCCUUGCUAGUAUUAAGUGUGCAAUCUCCUUUUUGUCCUUGAUUUUUUAUACAUGUUACAUUACCCUCUCCAUCAAAAGCAACCUUGUCCUNAAGGUUGAA